rnacentral:rRNA from 1 species
CCUACGGGGGGCUGCAGUGGGGAAUAUUGGACAAUGGGGGGAACCCUGAUCCAGCCAUGCCGCGUGUGUGAAGAAGGCCCUCGGGUUGUAAAGCACUUUCAGUGAGGAAGAACGCCUGGUGGUUAAUACCCAUCAGGAAAGACAUCACUCACAGAAGAAGCACCGGCUAACUCCGUGCCAGCAGCCGCGGUAAUACGGAGGGUGCGAGCGUUAAUCGGAAUUACUGGGCGUAAAGCGCGCGUAGGUGGCUUGAUAAGCCGGUUGUGAAAGCCCCGGGCUCAACCUGGGAACGGCAUCCGGAACUGUCAAGCUAGAGUGCAGGAGAGGAAGGUAGAAUUACCGGUGUAGCGGUGAAAUGCGUAGAGAUCGGGAGGAAUACCAGUGGCGAAGGCGGCCUUCUGGACUGACACUGACACUGAGGUGCGAAAGCGUGGGUAGCAAACAGGAUUAGAUACCCCUGUAGUC